rnacentral:pre_miRNA from 1 species
ACUGGAGGGGGGGAAGGUCUCUCAGCCAGGAUCGCGAGAGGGUGCAGGCCAGGCUGAGUGACCCCACCGGUGCACG